GGAAGAUGGGACGAAACUGCAUUUUCUUGCAUUGAUUGCUUCGAAAACCUUAGUGGUACAAAAGUUAACACUUCAAAAACAUUGACCGGCCAAAAUUGCCAAAGAUGGGAUGAAACUUCUCCACAUGAUCUAUCUUCCGAACUUGUAACUGCAAUGUUUCCAGACCAUACUAUCUCAGCCGCAGAUAAUUACUGCCGCUCUCCAGUAACUGGAAAUGAACUCGAACGGCCGUAUUUUUGGUGUAUGACAGGAGAUCCGAAAAUGAGCUUCGAUGUUUGUUCCGUUCCAAUGUGUUACACUGAAGAUCCAAAUAAUCAUUACCAACAACUACCCGACACGACUUAUUCACACACUAAUCAUUUUGCAGACGUACCAA